AUGAUAUUGAAGUGAGUGGGACUGUGAGGAGAUGAGUCAGAACAUGAAUGCAACAGUUGAUGUAGUUCAAGCAGAUUGAGAUUUGACCAACACCACCAAGCUAGUUUCAGAGUCUCUGCAACAAUGAAGGUCACGGACACAAGGCAAAAAAAGACGUGUCACUUCCCCUGCGUAUUUUUUCAUUAGUAAGCCUCUCUCUGUUCUACUCUCUAUCUCUCUCUGUGCUUCAAUGUGUUUCUUUUUCAGGAAGAGCAGAAGAUUGUGAUAAUGAAGAGGGAGAAGAAUCUUGAUUUGUGAGUUGGAUCUGAAAGUGCUUAUGGAGAUUAAUUUUUGUUUGAAAUAGUGAUUAAAGAAAUGGUUAAGAGAGAAGCAGCCUGGAGAGGGUUAAUGUCUAAACAUGUACCAAUGUCAUUUUAUAAUGAUCACCCACUUAAUCAUAAUUAACUUGAUUUUAUAAUCUUGGAUUCUCCUUUU